GAUGAACGCUGGCGGCGUGCCUAAUACAUGCAAGUCGAGCGAACAGACGAUGAGUUUGCUCCUCUGUCGUUAGCGGCGGACGGGUGAGUAACUCGUGCAUUACCUACCUAUAUGACUGGGAUAACUUCGAGACACCGGAGCUAACUCCUGAUAUUAUUUUGAACCGCAUUGUUCAUUAGUUAAAUAUGGUUUUCGUGAGACUUCUAUAUGGAUCCGCGCCGCAUUAGCUAGUUGGUAGGGUAACGGCUUACCAAGGCAACGAUGCGUAGCCGAGCUGAGAGGGUGAUCGGCCACACUGGGACUGAGACACGGUCCAGACUCCUACGGGAGGCAGCAGUAGGGAAUCUUCCGCAAUGGGCGAAAGCUUGACGGAGCAACGCCGCGUGAGUGAUGAAGGUCUUCGGGUCGUAAAACUCUGUUGUUAGGGAAGAACAGAUGUGUAAGUAACUAUGCAAGUAUUGACGGUACCUAAUCAGAAAGCCACGGCUAACUACGUG
rnacentral:rRNA from 1 species